rnacentral:ncRNA from 1 species
AGCAGCAAAGGCAAACUUGGCGAAGGCCAAGGACGCAAAGCUAUGGGUCUUCCAGUCAUUGCUGAUGAUUGCCAAGCUACCGAAC